GACGAACGCUGGCGGCGUGCUUAACACAUGCAAGUCGAACGGAAAGGCCCUGCUUUUGUGGGGUGCUCGAGUGGCGAACGGGUGAGUAACACGUGAGUAACCUGCCCUUGACUUUGGGAUAACUUCAGGAAACUGGGGCUCAUACCGGAUAGGAGCUCCUGCUGCAUGGUGGGGGUUGGAAAGUUUCGGCGGUUGGGGAUGGACUCGCGGCUUAUCAGCUUGUUGGUGGGGUAGUGGCUUACCAAGGCUUUGACGGGUAGCCGGCCUGAGAGGGUGACCGGCCACAUUGGGACUGAGAUACGGCCCAGACGCCAACGGGAGGCAGCAGUGGGGAAUAUUACACAAUGGGCGGAAGCCUGAUGCAGCAACGCCGCGUGCGGGAUGACGGCCUUCGGGUUGUAAACCGCUUUCGCCUGUGACGAAGCGUGAGUGACGGUAAUGGGUAAAGAAGCACCGGCUAACUACGUG
rnacentral:rRNA from 1 species